AACGAACGCUGGCGGCAUGCCUAACACAUGCAAGUCGAACGAGACCUUCGGGUCUAGUGGCGCACGGGUGCGUAACGCGUGGGAAUCUGCCCUCAGGUACGGAAUAACUCAGGGAAACUUGAGCUAAUACCGUAUAAUGACUUCGGUCCAAAGAUUUAUCGCCUGGGGAUGAGCCCGCGUCGGAUUAGCUAGUUGGUGAGGUAAAGGCUCACCAAGGCGACGAUCCGUAGCUGGUCUGAGAGGAUGAUCAGCCACACUGGGACUGAGACACGGCCCAGACUCCUACGGGAGGCAGCAGUGGGGAAUAUUGGACAAUGGGCGCAAGCCUGAUCCAGCAAUGCCGCGUGAGUGAUGAAGGCCUUAGGGUUGUAAAGCUCUUUUACCCGGGAAGAUAAUGACUGUACCGGGAGAAUAAGCCCCGGCUAACUCCGUGCCAGCAGCCGCGGUAAUACGGAGGGGGCUAGCGUUGUUCGGAAUUACUGGGCGUAAAGCGCACGU
rnacentral:rRNA from 1 species